CCUACGGGUGGCAGCAGUGAGGAAUAUUGGUCAAUGGGCGAGAGCCUGAACCAGCCAAGUCGCGUGAAGGAUGACGGCCCUACGGGUUGUAAACUUCUUUUGUCAGGGAGCAAUUGAGUCUCCGUGUGCUCUUAUCGAGAGUACCUGAAGAAAAAGCAUCGGCUAACUCCGUGCCAGCAGCCGCGGUAAUACGGAGGAUGCGGGCGUUAUCUGGUUUUAUUGGGUUUAAAGGGAGCGUAGGUGGAUUGUUAAGUCAGUUGUGAAAGUUUGCGGCUCAACCGUAAAAGUGCAGUUGAAACUGGCAGUCUUGAGUACAGUAGAGGUGGGCGGAAUUCGUGGUGUAGCGGUGAAAUGCGUAGAUAUCACGAAGAACUCCGAUUGCGAAGGCAGUUCACUGGACUGCAACUGACACUGAGGCUCGAAAGUGUGGGUAUCAAACAGGAUUAGAUACCCUGGUAGUC
rnacentral:rRNA from 1 species